rnacentral:rRNA from 1 species
CCUACGGGGUGCAGCAGUCGAGAAUCAUUCACAAUGGGGGCAACCCUGAUGGUGCGACGCCGCGUGGGGGAAUGAAGGUCUUCGGAUUGUAAACCCCUGUCAUGUGGGAGCAAAUUAAAAAGAUAGUACCACAAGAGGAAGAGACGGCUAACCCUGUGCCAGCAGCCGCGGUAAUACAGUGGGCUGAAGCGUUGUUCGGCAUCACUGGGCGUAAAGCGUGCGUAGGCUGUUUUGUACGUAGUGUGUGAAAGGGGCGGGGUCAACCAGCGGAGAGCAGAUGAUACUGCGAGACUAGAGUAAUGGAGGGGGAACCGGAAUGCGCGGGGUAGCAGUGAAAUGCGUAGAUAUC